rnacentral:rRNA from 1 species
UAGGGAAUCUUCGGCAAUGGGGGGAACCCUGACCGAACAACGCCGCGUGAGUGAAGAAGGUUUUCGGAUCGUAAAGCUCUGUUGUUAAGGAAGAACGAGUGUGAGAAUGGAAAGUUCAUGCUGUGACGGUACUUAACCAGAAAGGGACGGCUAACUACGUGCCAGCAGCCGCGGUAAUACGUAGGUCCCGAGCGUUGUCCGGAUUUAUUGGGCGUAAAGCGAGCGCAGGCGGUUAGAAAAGUCUGAAGUGAAAGGCAGUGGCUCAACCAUUGUAGGCUUUGGAAACUGUUUAACUUGAGUGCAGAAGGGGAGAGUGGAAUUCCAUGUGUAGCGGUGAAAUGCGUAGAUAUAUGGAGGAACACCGGUGGCGAAAGCGGCUCUCUGGUCUGUAACUGACGCUGAGGCUCGAAAGCGUGGGGAGCGAACAGG